GACAGAGGAUGCAAGCGUUAUCCGGAAUGAUUGGGCGUAAAGAGCUCGUAGGUGGUUUGUCGCGUCUGUCGUGAAAGCCCGGGGCUUAACUCCGGGUCUGCGGUGGAUACGGGCAGACUAGAGGCAGGUAGGGGAGAACGGAAUUCCCGGUGUAGCGGUGAAAUGCGCAGAUAUCGGGAGGAACACCGGUGGCGAAGGCGGCCUGCUGGGCAGUGCUGACACUGAGGCGCGACAGCGUGGGGGAGCCAAACAGG
rnacentral:rRNA from 1 species